rnacentral:rRNA from 1 species
AACGAACGCUGGCGGCAUGCCUAACACAUGCAAGUCGAACGAGACCUUCGGGUCUAGUGGCGCACGGGUGCGUAACGCGUGGGAACCUGCCCUUAGGUUCGGAAUAACUCCCCGAAAGGGGUGCUCAUACCGGAUAAUGUCUUCGGACCAAAGAUUUAUCGCCUUUGGAUGGGCCCGCGUUGGAUUAGCUAGUUGGUAGGGUAAAAGCCUACCAAGGCGACGAUCCAUAGCUGGUCUGUGAGGAUGAUCAGCCACACUGGGACUGAGACACGGCCCAGACUCCUACGGGAGGCAGCAGUGGGGAAUAUUAGACAAUGAGCGAAAGCCUGAUCCAGCAAUGCCGCGUGAGUGAUGAAGGCCUUAGGGUUGUAAAGCUCUUUUACCCGGGAUGAUAAUGACAGUACCGGGAGAAUAAGCUCCGGCUAACUCCGUG